GUGCUCGCUUCACCAGCACAUAUACUAAAAUUGGAACAAUGCAGAGAAGAUUAGCAUGGCCCCUGGGCAAGGAUGACACGCAAAUUGAGAAGCCUUCCAUAUUUUU
ensembl:snRNA U6 U6 spliceosomal RNA